CCUACGGGUGGCAGCAGUGGGGAAUAUUGGACAAUGGGGGAAACCCUGAUCCAGCGACGCCGCGUGAGUGAAGAAGUAUUUCGGUACGUAAAGCUCUAUUAGCAGGAAAGAAAAUGACGGUACCUGACUAUGAAGCCCCGGCUAACUACGUGCCAGCAGCCGCGGUAAUACGGAGGGGGCAAGCGUUAUCCGGAUUUACUGGGUGUAAAGGGAGCGUAGACGGCUGUGCAAGUCUGGAGUGAAAGGCCUGGGCCCAACCCCGGAACUGCACUGGAAACUGGGAAGCUGGAGUGCAGGAGAGGUAAGCGGAAUUCCUGGUGUAGCGGUGAAAUGCGUAGAGAUAAGGAGGAACACCGGCGGCGAAGGCGGCUUACUGGACUGUAACUGACGUUGAGGCUCGAAGGCGUGGGGAGCAAACAGGAUUAGAUACCCGGGUAGUC
rnacentral:rRNA from 1 species